AGUCAGUGACGAGUCCCAAAUAGGGCGAAACGCGCGUCCUGGGU
rnacentral:hammerhead_ribozyme from 1 species